GAUGAACGCUGGCGGCGUGCCUAAUACAUGCAAGUCGAGCGAACGGACGAGAAGCUUGUUUCUCUGAUGUUAGCGGCGGACGGGUGAGUAACACGUGGAUAACCUACCUAUAAGACUGGGAUAACUUCGGGAAACCGGAGCUAAUACCGGAUAAUAUUUUGAACCGCAUGGUUCAAAAGUGAAAGACGGUCUUGCUGUCACUUAGAGAUGGAUCCGCGUUGCAUUAGCUAGUUGGUAAGGUAACGGCUUACCAAGGCAACGAUGCAUAGCCGACCUGAGAGGGUGAUCGGCCACACUGGAACUGAGACACGGUCCAGACUCCUACGGGAGGCAGCAGUAGGGAAUCUUCGGCAAUGGGCGAAAGCCUGACGGAGCAACGCCGCGUGAGUGAUGAAGGUCUUCGGAUCGUAAAACUCUGUUAUUAGGGAAGAACAUAUGUGUAAGUAACUGUGCACAUCUUGACGGUACCUAAUCAGAAAGCCACGGCUAACUACGUG
rnacentral:rRNA from 1 species